rnacentral:rRNA from 1 species
AGCGAACGCUGGCGGCAGGCUUAAUACAUGCAAGUCGAGCGGGCGUAGCAAUACGUCAGCGGCAGACGGGUGAGUAACACGUGGGAACGUGCCUUUUGGUUCGGAACAACCCAGGGAAACUUGGGCUAAUACCGGAUAAGCCCUUACGGGGAAAGAUUUAUCGCCAAAAGAUCGGCCCGCGUCUGAUUAGCUAGUUGGUGGGGUAAUGGCCCACCAAGGCGACGAUCAGUAGCUGGUCUGAGAGGAUGAUCAGCCACACUGGGACUGAGACACGGCCCAGACUCCUACGGGAGGCAGCAGUAGGGAAUAUUGGACAAUGGGCGAAAGCCUGAUCCAGCCAUGCCGCGUGAGUGAUGAAGGCCUUAGGGUUGUAAAGCUCUUUCAGCGGGGAAGAUAAUGACGGUACCCGUAUAAGAA